rnacentral:rRNA from 1 species
AUUGAACGCUGGCGGCAGGCCUAACACAUGCAAGUCGAGCGGAUGAAGGGAGCUUGCUCCUGGAUUCAGCGGCGGACGGGCGAGUAAUGCCUAGGAAUCUGCCUGGUAGUGGGGGCUAACGUCCGGAAACGGGCGCUAAUACCGCAUACGUCCUGAGGGAGAAAGUGGGGGAUCUUCGGACCUCACGCUAUCAGACGAGCCUAGGUCGGAUUAGCUAGUUGGCGGGGUAAAGGCCUACCAAGGCGACGAUCCGUAACUGGUCUGAGAGGAUGAUCAGUCACACUGGAACUGAGACACGGUCCAGACUCCUACGGGAGGCAGCAGUGGGGAAUAUUGGACAAUGGGCGAAGGCCUGAUCCAGCCAUGCCGCGUGUGUGAAGAAGGUCUUCGGAUUGUAAAGCACUUUUAGUGGGGAAGAAGGGCAGUAAGUUAAUACCUUGCUGUUUUGACGUUACCAACAGAAUAAGCACCGGCUAACUUCGUG